GAGCUUGCUCCUGGGUGACGAGCGGCGGACGGGUGAGUAAUGUCUGGGAAACUGCCUGAUGGAGGGGGAUAACUACUGGAAACGGUAGCUAAUACCGCAUAAUGUCUACGGACCAAAGUGGGGGACCUUCGGGCCUCAUGCCAUCAGAUGUGCCCAGAUGGGAUUAGCUAGUAGGUGGGGUAAUGGCUCACCUAGGCGACGAUCCCUAGCUGGUCUGAGAGGAUGACCAGCCACACUGGAACUGAGACACGGUCCAGACUCCUACGGGAGGCAGCAGUGGGGAAUAUUGCACAAUGGGCGCAAGCCUGAUGCAGCCAUGCCGCGUGUGUGAAGAAGGCCUUCGGGUUGUAAAGCACUUUCAGCGAGGAGGAAGGGUUCUGUGUUAAUAGCACAUUGCAUUGACGUUACUCGCAGAAGAAGCACCGGCUAACUCCGUGCCAGCAGCCGCGGUAAUACGGAGGGUGCAAGCGUUAAUCGGAAUUACUGGGCGUAAAGCGCACGCAGGCGGUUUGUUAAGUCAGAUGUGAAAUCCCCGCGCUUAACGUGGGAACUGCAUUUGAAACUGGCAAGCUAGAGUCUUGUAGAGGGGGGUAGAAUUCCAGGUGUAGCGGUGAAAUGCGUAGAGAUCUGGAGGAAUACCGGUGGCGAAGG
rnacentral:rRNA from 1 species